rnacentral:ncRNA from 1 species
UUACCCUACUACUAAUACUACCCUACAUUCCUGCGUAGUACGAGAGGAACCGCAGGUACGGACCAAUGGCACAAUACUUGUUCGAGCGAACAGUGGUAUGACGCUACGUCCGUUGGAUUAUGCUUGAACGCCUCUAAGGUCGUAUCCGUACUGGACUGCAAUGAUAAAUAAGGGACAAUUUGCAUUGUAUGGCUUCUAAACCAUUUAAAGUUUAUUAUUUAUAUUUUAAGCGACAAUGGAUGUGAUGCCAAUGUAAUUUGUAACUUAGUAAAUUGGGAGGAUCUUUGAUCACCUAAUGCCAUGCUAGUUACAUAUGAAAACAUUAUUUAAUAUAAUGACAAAGCCGAGAAUCAAUUGUAAGCGACUUUUUUAAAUGGCAAGGUGUUGUAAGUGGUUGAGCAGCUGCCAUACUGCGAUCCACUGAAGCUUAUCCUUUGCUUGAUGAUCGAA